GCUGAAAAGUCUUGAAUCAGUAAAAGCAAAAGGGGCUUUUUCUUCGAAGUUAAAAACAGAAAAGGAGGAGUUUCAGAGAUGGUUUUGGGAAUCAGAUUGAGAUUCAAAAUUAACAAAGUGAAAACGAAAGCUCUCACCAGCAGAUAGAGACGAUGGAGAUGACGGAGCAAUUGCAGACAGAGACGAUAGAGACGACGGAGCAGUUGCAGACAGAGACAAUAGAGACAACGGAGCAAUUGCAGACAGAGACAAUAGAGACGACGGAGCAAUUGCAGACGACAAGUUUGAUUUCUGAGGUUCGAGUGAGGAAAAAUAGAUUUCCGCUCUCUGGGGAAGGAACAGAAGCAACAUAUAUGGUCGUCGCAACCACAAGAAGAAGAAGCGGCCAGUUCUGAGAAUGAUGAAACUACAACCUAUGUACAAGAAGAACCCUGUGAAACGGAUCUUUAUCACCGAUGAAGAUGACGUCUGGUGGCACUGAGCAAGCGAGAGCAGCUUGGCGAAAAUAAGCCAACCUGAGCCUGGCCGAGUUGGGCUGCAGUUGGUGGGUGCGAGUUGACAGUCUUCUCAAUCAAAAGUUUCCUAAUCCGCUUCGCAAAAUUUGAGAUUUGAUUAAUACGUACUAGCAUAUGCCCAUAAAGUGUUUCUGAACAUUUUUUUACUUUUGUUUUUAGAAUGGAAGGAGAAGGAAGAGAACGUGGGAUGAGAAGAGAGGAGAGAGUUUUUUUUUUUUUUUUUUUUUUUUUUUUAAUGCAUACUACCUAUGUUAUUUAUUUCUGUUCAGUUUUGAUUAGAGUGUUGGAAUGGUAAUUUUAUGAAGUUCUGGUUGACAAUUAAGAUUCUA